AAGUGUUGACUUUAUCAAUUGAAUGAAGUAAUAUAUAAAAGUCGCCAAAAACAGACGAAACACACUAAAAGCUGA
rnacentral:tRNA from 1 species